UAGCUCGGGUUUCUCUUCAUUCACGUAUAAAUCUUUCGCCUUUUACUAAAGAUUUCCGUGGAGGGGAACGUUGACGAGUAUUGUUUAUUUUUUGAAGGCUUUGCUUUUAGCAAAGCUG
rnacentral:snRNA from 1 species